rnacentral:rRNA from 1 species
UACGAAGGGGGCUAGCGUUGUUCGGAAUUACUGGGCGUAAAGCGUGCGCAGGCGGUGAUGUAAGACAGAUGUGAAAUCCCCGGGCUCAACCUGGGAACUGCAUUUGUGACUGCAUCGCUGGAGUGCGGCAGAGGGGGAUGGAAUUCCGCGUGUAGCAGUAAAAUGCGUAGAUAUGCGGAGGAACACCGAUGGCGAAGGCAAUCCCCUGGGCCUGCACUGACGCUCAUGCACGAAAGCGUGGGGAGCAAACAGG